UACGAAGGGGGCUAGCGUUGCUCGGAAUUACUGGGCGUAAAGCGCACGUAGGCGGCUUUCUAAGUCGGGGGUGAAAUCCUGGAGCUCAACUCCAGAACUGCCUUCGAUACUGGAAAGCUCGAGUCCGGGAGAGGUGAGUGGAACUCCGAGUGUAGAGGUGAAAUUCGUAGAUAUUCGGAAGAACACCAGUGGCGAAGGCGGCUCACUGGUCCGGUACUGACGCUGAGGUGCGAAAGCGUGGGGAGCAAACAGG
rnacentral:rRNA from 1 species